CCUACGGGAGGCAGCAGUCGAGAAUCUUUCACAAUGGGCGAAACCCUGACCCUGCGACGCCGCGUGGGGGAAUGAAGGUCUUUGGAUUGUAAACCCCUGUCAUGUGGGAGCAAAGUAAAAAGAUAGUACCACAAGAGGUAGAGCUGGCUAACUAUGUGCCAGCAGCCGCGGUACUACAGAGGGCGCAAGCUGUGUUAGGAUUCACUGGGCCUAAAGCGUUCGUAGGCGGUUUCGUAAGUCGUGUGUGAAAGGUGCGGGCUCAACCCGCGAACGGCAGCCGUAACUGCGAGACUUGAGUAAUGGAGAGGCAGCCGGAAUUCUUGGUGUAGCAGUGAAAUGCGUAGAUAUCGAGAGGAACACUCGUGGCGAAGGCGGGUUGCUGGACAUUAACUGACGCUGAUGCACGAAAGCGUGGGUAUCAAACAGGAUUAGAUACCCCAGUAGUC
rnacentral:rRNA from 1 species